AUGGAGGAUUUCGUUUCAUGGAAUUAUAACCGGACAGGGAUAUUCACGGUUAAGACAGCCUAUCAUAUGGAGUGGGAUCAGCAGCAUGGACGAAAGUUGUGGAGAACGAACUCUAUGAUAUCCGCAAGUACUAGUCCUAUAUGGAGUAUCCUUUGGAAAUUGCGAGUCCCAGCCAAAGUGAAAAUUCACUACUGGAGGGCACUAUAUGGGGCAAUACCCUGUCGGGGCAUUAUGGCUAAUCGGCAUAUGAUCACUAACUCAUUGUACCCUAUUUGCGGUCCGGAUUGUGAGAGUAUCAGUCAUGCUUUCUUCAAGUGUCAACAUGUUCAAGCUAUCUGGAGUGCACUGGGCAUGGCAAACAUGAUCAACGAGCUUUGAUCCCUAGAAAGGGAAGGUGCGACAGUGUUGGCUUACCUACUUCUAACUCCUAAUGUAUCGGCAUCGCUGCUUCCGAGUGUUAACUGCAAAGAGGUAAUUGCAACGACAGUUUGAGCAAAGAAAAAGGGUCCAGGCCAGAUUGGGAGACAUGGAUGGACCAAGCCAAGUGAGGGAUUUGUAAAACUCAAUGUAGAUGCCUCUUUUUUUGAGNNNNNNNNNNNNNNNNNNNNNNNNNNAAUCUUACGCGACACUUCUGGAUCUUUCAUUGCAGCAUCAUGUAGCGACAUUCGGUUCGUUGAGGACGCGGCGACAGCGGAAGCCCGAGGCUCCGAGACGGCCUCAUUCUGGCAAACGACAUGGGUUGCAACAAACUGGUGA
rnacentral:rRNA from 1 species